ensembl:lncRNA
AAACCAACGGUGUCCAUUUUAUGUACUUGAAAAGCUUAUAUUUCUUCUUUUCCUUGCCCUCCAAUUCCCCCUAAACCCUCAGUUCCUUGGGCAUCGACCCGCCAGAGAAACCCACCAGGGCCUUGCAUUCUUUCAAUUGCUUUUUGGUUUAUUUUUGUAUUAUAAUGAUUGCUUGUAUUAGUGGAUGUGGAUUGUAUGCUGUGGUUUCAAGUAAGCACAAUCUUGGUUGUGUGUGUGUGUGUGUGUGUGUGCCAAUGGGUUUAUGUGUGUUUGCUGUAGACUUCAGCACUGCUCCUGGGUUAAGCACUACUGCUGCAUCAAUUGAAAUAGAAAUGCAAUAUUCCCCAAAACACAGACAACGCUGCGAAUGAAAUAGCAAAAGCAAAGUGUGCGCGAGCCAUUAAGGACUAUUCAGACCCAUGUAACCAUGGAGACUGAAGUGGUUGCCAUGGCUAUGAUCAAUAUUGUAAGUUUUGACGUAGUUCAGUUCAAUUCCAGACCGUUCAACUUUAAUAAAAGAAAAACCCUAAAUUAAAGCAGAAAUUAUGCUUUAACAGGAAACAGGAACCGCUAAUAGCUAUCCCAGAGGUCAAUAGAAGCCCACUGACAUAACACAACUCUGCCCUGACACAAAGGAGCCAAUCCUGAGAGCAAAGCCUCCUGGAGCUUCACCGUCGACCACGGUUCACAGCUAUCUCUGAAGGAACGCUCCUUCACCGGUGUUGCGCUUUUAUGUGAAAUGUCCCAUCCUGCAGAAAGUGUUUCUUACCAAAGUUUGAGGCCUAAGCCUCAACAGAGAAGUUCGAGAGGUACCAAAGUUUGUCUUUAGUUUUCUUCCACCAUGGUUCGGUCACACAGAUUUGCAGCAGACUAAAUCCAUGCUGGCUUCAGCUAAAACAGGCGCAGAUCCAUCAACAGAUGAGUUGAUGGCCUACUCAGGGUCCCUGGUCCCUACUCACAGCUUCACACACCUCCAACAACAAGGGAGCAGAGAAGGAGAGGCAGUGGGUUGGUGAUGAAGAGGAGGAAUGUGGUGGCAGAUGUGAUAAAGGUGAUGGUGGUGGUGAUGAAGACGAUGGUGUUGCUGACUGUAUUGGACGUGGUGAUGAAGGAGAUGAUUGGUGGUAGAUUUGAUGACAGUGACGGUGAUGACUGGUGGUCAUUGGGAUGAGGAUGAUGGUGGUGACGAUUUGAGUGGUGAUGAAGAUGAUGGUGGUGACGACUUGUCUAAGUGGUGAUGAAGAUGAUGAUGUGGAUGACUUGUCUAAGUGGUGAUGAAGAUGACGGUGUGGAUGACUUGUCUUAGUGGUGAUGAAGAUGAUGGUGUGAAUGACUUGUCUAAGUGGUGAUGAAGAUGAUGGUGUGGAUGACUUGUGUUGUUGGUGAUGAAGAUGAUGGUGUGGAUGCCUUGUCUAAGUAGUGAUGAAGAUGAUGGUGUGGAUGACUUGUGUUGUUGGUGAUGAAGAUGAUGGUGUGGAUGCCUUGUCUAAGUAGUGAUGAAGAUGAUGGUGUGGAUGACUUGUGUUAUUGUUGAUGAAGAUGAUGGUGUGGAUGCCUUGUCUAAGUAGUGAUGAAGAUGAUGGUGUGGAUGACUUGUCUAAGUAGUGAUGAAGAUGAUGGUGUGGAUGACUUGUCUAAGUAGUGAUGAAGAUGAUGGUGUGGAUGACUUGUGUUAUUGGUGAUGAAGAUGAUGGUGUGGAUGCCUUGUCUAAGUAGUGAUGAAGAUGAUGGUGUGGAUGACUUGUGUUAUUGUGAUGAAGAUGAUGGUGUGGAUGCCUUGUCUAAGUAGUGAUGAAGAUGAUGGUGUGGAUGACUUGUGUUAUUGUUGAUGAAGAUGAUGGUGUGGAUGCCUUGUCUAAGUAGUGAUGAAGAUGAUGGUGUGGAUGACUUGUCUAAGUAGUGAUGAAGAUGAUGGUGUGGAUGACUUGUCUAAGUAGUGAUGAAGAUGAUGGUGUGGAUGACUUGUGUUAUUGGUGAUGAAGAUGAUGGUGUGGAUGCCUUGUCUAAGUAGUGAUGAAGAUGAUGGUGUGGAUGACUUGUGUUAUUGGUGAUGAAGAUGAUGGUCUGGAUGCCUUGUCUAAGUAGUGAUGAAGAUGAUGGUGUGGAUGACUUGUCUAAGUAGUGAUGAAGAUGAUGGUGUGGAUGACUUGUGUUAUUGGUGAUGAAGAUGAUGGUGGUGACGACUGGUGGUAAUUAUUAAAUUUUAAAAAAUAUUACACAAAAUAAUACUCAAACCUUGUCCCUGCUGGCUAUUUUUAUCUAUAAUCGAUAUUAUAUAUAUGAUUAAAAUGAGCUUUUCUUUUCCCUCUUUUUGUGACAGGUUGUUGUUUAGUAAGCCAAGCCAAGCAGCAUUGAUACCCUCGGCCCGUUUGAUUGGAACUGUGAAUGACAUAUACUUUACAGAUAUUUACAGAAAUGUGUUAGCUGUUUGUUGGUCCGUUUUUCGAGGACUAUUAUUGUGAAGGUCGGUUCUUGACUGGUUUUAGGCCUAUUCCCUUAACGCUUUUAAUGUAGAAGGACCGUGUCAAGUGCCCUCAUGUGAACAUAACUUUUAGUGCACUUGUAACGACCCACACGCACGGAUAGGAUAUGCUUACACAAAUGCGUGCACCCAAAAACACACACACGAACACACACACACACACGAACACACACACACACAAAACCUAAAUACAAACAUGUAACGCAAUGACUUUCUUUGAUGUAGCUUUCUCUCCGUGCAAUGAUUUAGAAUCUGAAGCAUAUGUUGGCAAAAAAGAAAAUUUAGUUUUAAUUUACCAAUGUAUGCUUUCAUACUAAUCAUCAUGAGAAUAUUUUAUUUUUUUCCUGGGCCUGUUCUCUCGUUUUGUGUUUGACGUUGUACGGACAAUAUGGUUUGAUUUGAAUGAAACAUAGUCGGCCUAUAUGUGUGGUGGUGGCGUCAGGGGUCGAAGGUCAUGUUUUGGGGUCUUCGGCAGCCUUUUAAAAACUGUAUGUUUUGCACUGAGUGUUCAAGCUUCAUGACGAAAUAAGAUGCUGCGCUUUGCGCUCCAAAUUUGUUACUUCAUUUGUAAAAACUUAAUAAACAAAACUGGGUAAACUGAAAAAUCUG